rnacentral:rRNA from 1 species
UGGCGGCGCGCCUAACACAUGACAAGUACGAACGAGAAGUCCGGGGCGAACCCGGUAGUAAAGUGGCAAACGGGUGAGGAAUACAUGGGUAACCUACCCUUGAGAAGGGAAUAACCCGCCGAAAGGUGAGCUAAUACCCUAUACGCUAUCUUUUUUUCGAAAAGGAUAGGAAAGCCGGGUCGAGGACCUGGUACUCAAGGAGGGGCUCAUGUCCUAUCAGCUUGUUGGUGGGGUAACGGCCUACCAAGGCUACGACGGGUAGCUGGUCUGAGAGGAUGAUCAGCCACACUGGCACUGAGAUACGGGCCAGACUCCUACGGGAGGCAGCAGUGAGGAAUAUUGCGCAAUGGGCGAAAGCCUGACGCAGCGACGCCGCGUGGGGAUGAAGGUUUUCGGAUUGUAAACCCCUUUCAUGAGGAAAGAUAAAGUGGGUAACCACUUAGACGGUACCUCAAGAAGAAGCCACGGCUAACUUCGUG